rnacentral:lncRNA from 1 species
CAAACACUGGGGGAGCUUGGAAGUGGGUUCUCCGGGCCCAAGUAAGUCCGCAGCCCUGUCCAAGAAUUUGACCAAGACCUCAUGAGAGACCUUGAGCCAUAAUCACCCACUAGGCCUCUCUCAGAUUUCUGGCCCUAAGAAACCAUGUGAAAUUAUAAAUUUUGUUGUCUCAAACUUCUUAUCUGGGGUCCUUUGUUGUCCAGCAACAGACAGCUAAUAUAAGAAGAAAAGCAAGACAUGAAGUGGAGGAGAACAAAGACAGUCUGAAACCCUUAAGGAUAAGCUGGAACCAAAGGACAGACUGGAACUUGCAUGGGUCUUACGCUCCUUCUAAGCCUUCAUCUUUGAUGAUGCAUGAUCUGCAGGAGAAACUGGGACCUUUCAUCACAAAGCUAAACAAGCACAUGACUCAGUUGCUGGAGAGGCUGAAGGAAGAUUCAGCAGGAGCUAGAGUGGCUACAGGCCUGGCUGCCACACUGUGCCAUCAAGCUUGGCUUAGAAAAUCCAGCAGAUAACUCUGAGGAGAGCAUGGAGCCCGAUGGAAGGAGUCUAGACCUGCAUAUCCAUCUGAGAUGGAAACCCCUUCCAGCCUGCACUGUUUUGUGAUAUGACUGAGAAAUAAAUCUAUAUUGUGUUAAGCCACCA